rnacentral:lncRNA from 1 species
GACUGUUACAUUCCAGAAAUCAAAAAGUCUUGGUUAGAGAGGUGGACACUGAACUUGCACUUGAACAACUGUUCUCUCUAUUUAAGAUUCUGUGAAGCAUCCUAUUUCCUGUCUAUCUUCUUUCUUCUUGUCCAUCUCACUCAUUCAUCUACUCAGCCAGUAACCAGGAAGCACAAUUUUUCAGGCACUUUCUUAGACUGGGUGAUGCUUAAUUAACCAUUUUUAUAUUUUUAAUGAAGUUUGGCAUUUUAUUCCUCCAGGAGAGAACUUUUUUACAUUCUGAAACUAAAUUGUGUUUGAAAAUAUUGGCGCCACCUCCUUCAGGCAUCAAACACUCAGAAUAAGCCAUUCCAGGAUACUUGCUUUUUCUCUAACUGAUGCCUUCCCUCUAAUU